rnacentral:rRNA from 1 species
AAUGAACGCUGGCGGCGUGCCUAACACAUGCAAGUCGGAUGUGCCAGCAAUGGUGCAUGGCAGACGGGUGAAUAACGCGUAGGGAACCUACCUCUUUGUGGGGAAUAACGCUCCGAAAGGAGUGGUAAUACCGCAUGAGAUCAGCGACUGGGAUGUUGUUGAUGAAAGCUGGGGAUCGAAAGACCCAGCGCAAGGAGAGGGUCCUGCGUCUGAUUAGCUAGUUGGUGGGGUAACGGCCUACCAAGGCGACGAUCAGUAGCCGGCCUGAGAGGGUGAUCGGCCACACUGGAACUGAGACACGGUCCAGACUCCUACGGGAGGCAGCAGUGGGGAAUUUUGCGCAAUGGACGAAAGUCUGACGCAGCAACGCCGCGUGGGUGAUGAAGGUCUUCGGAUCGUAAAACCCUGUCGUCAGGGACGAAGGUUGCAUGCCUAACAGGUGUGUAACUUGACGGUACCUGGAGAGGAAGCCCCGGCUAACUCUGUGCCAGCAGCCGCGGUAAUACAGAGGGGGCAAGCGUUAUUCGGAAUUAUUGGGCGUAAAGGGCGCGUAGGCGGUGAUUUAAGUGAGAUGUGUAAUCCCUGGGCUUAACCUGGGAACUGCAUCUCAGACUGGAUCGCUAGAGUGCUGGAGAGGGUGGUAGAAUUCCACGUGUAGCGGUGAAAUGCGUAGAGAUGUGGAGGAAUACCAGUGGCGAAGGCGGCCACCUGGACAGUAACUGACGCUGAGGCGCGAAAGUGUGGGUAGCAAACAGGAUUAGAUACCCUGGUAGUCCACGCUGUAAACGAUGAACACUUGGUGUGGUUGGGAGUUGACCCCUGCCGUGCCGUAGCUAACGCGAUAAGUGUUCCGCCUGGGGAGUACGGUCGCAAGGCUG